UACGUAGGGUGCAAGCGUUAAUCGGAAUUACUGGGCGUAAAGCGUGCGCAGGCGGUUCGUCGUGUCUGAUGUGAAAGCCCCGGGCUCAACCUGGGAAUGGCAUUGGAAACUGGCGGACUAGAGUGUGGCAGAGGGGGGUGGAAUUCCGCGUGUAGCAGUGAAAUGCGUAGAGAUGCGGAGGAACACCGAUGGCGAAGGCAGCCCCCUGGGCUA
rnacentral:rRNA from 1 species